CCUACGGGGGGCAGCAGUGGGGAAUAUUGCACAAUGGGGGAAACCCUGAUGCAGCAACGCCGCGUGAGUGAAGAAGUAUCUCGGUAUGUAAAGCUCUAUCAGCAGGGAAGAAAAUGACGGUACCUGACUAAGAAGCCCCGGCUAACUACGUGCCAGCAGCCGCGGUAAUACGUAGGGGGCAAGCGUUAUCCGGAUUUACUGGGUGUAAAGGGAGCGUAGACGGUGUGGCAAGUCUGAAGUGAAAGCCCGGGGCCCAACCCCCGGACUGCUUUGGGAACUGUACGGCUGGAGUGCAGGAGAGGUAG
rnacentral:rRNA from 1 species